UGGGGAAUAUUGCACAAUGGGCGAAAGCCUGAUGCAGCGACGCCGCGUGAGGGAUGACGGCCCUUCGGGUUGUAAACCUCUUUCAGCAGGGAAGAAGCGAAAGUGACGGUACCUGCAGAAGAAGCGCCGGCUAACUACGUGCCAGCAGCCGCGGUAAUACGUAGGGCGCAAGCGUUGUCCGGAAUUAUUGGGCGUAAGAGCUCGUAGGCGGUUAGUCGCGUCUGCUGUGAAAAUCUCGAGGCUCAACCUCGGGCUUGCAGUGGGUACGGGCUGACUAGAGUGCGGUAGGGGUGACUGGAAUUCCUGGUGUAGCGGUGGAAUGCGCAGAUAUCAGGAGGAACACCGAUGGCGAAGGCAGGUCACUGGGCCGCAACUGACGCUGAGGAGCGAAAGCAUGGGGAGCGAACAGGAUUAGAUACCCUGGUAGUCCAUGCCGUAAACGUUGGGCA
rnacentral:rRNA from 1 species